AAAAGGACUCUCGGCAACGGAUAUCUCGGUUCUUGCAUCGAUGAAGAACGUAGCGAAAUGCGAUACUUGGUGUGAAUUGCAGAAUCCCGUGAACCAUCGAGUCUUUGAACGCAAGUUGCGCCCAAAGCCAUUCGGUUGAGGGCACGCCUGCCUGGGUGUCG
rnacentral:rRNA from 4 species